rnacentral:rRNA from 1 species
AUACGAAGGGUGCAAGCGUUAAUCGGAAUUACUGGGCGUAAAGCGCGCGUAGGUGGUUUUGUAAGUUGGAGGUGAAAGCCCCGGGCUCAACCUGGGAAUUGCCUCCAAAACUGCAUGACUAGAGUACGGUAGAGGGUAGUGGAAUUUCCUGUGUAGCGGUGAAAUGCGUAGAUAUAGGAAGGAACACCAGUGGCGAAGGCGACUACUGGGACGGAUUCUGCCACUGAGGUGCGAAAGCGGGGGGAGCAAACAGGAUUAGAUCCCCUGGUAGACCACGCCGUAAACGAUGUCAACUAGCCGUUGGGAUCCUUGAGAUCUUAGUGGCGCAGCUAACGCAUUAAGUUGACCGCCUGGGGAGUACGGCCGCAAGGUUAAAACUCAAAUGAAUUGACGGGG